GGGGCCUUCACGGUGUUCCAUUGUGUGGGUCACCAAGCUUCUUCCCUUUCCUCUGGGCAGAGACGCAAGCUGUUCAGUGUGCUUCACUGUGGUGGACGAACAUCUUCACCAGUUGGUUUGCUCGUCAUGAUUCAUCUUCAUUAUCAGUUUGAUGGGGUUGAGAAACACCUAGGAAAUGAGUUGAACACGUUCUGGGCGUUCCCUGGGGGGGGGUGUUUCCAGAGAUGACUGGCAUGUUCCACAGCCAACUAAGAGGAGAGAUCUGCCUUGAAUGUGGGAGGCGCCUUCCAAUAGGGUGGGGCCUAGGUGGAAUAACAGCAGCCAAAGGAGGCCUCCCACUAGUUCCGGGUGUCUCAUCCGCUCUGCUUCCUGGCAGCCAUGGUGGGAGUGGCUUUCCUACACUGCAUCCUUUCGCCCUGUUUCCGCCUCACCUCAGGCCUAGAGUAAUGGAUGUGGCUGACCCACGGACUGAAACCGCGGAACGGUGAGCCAAAAAUAAACCUCUUUUUCAAGUUGAUUUUAUCAAGCAUUUUUGUCACAGUGACAGAAAGUAGCCUGACAGAACGUCUAAAGAAAUGCAUAGGUGCCAUGUGCAGCAUCCUCUCUGAAGCAGAACUUUGGGCUCGCAGCAUUUGUUUCACGAACUCAGCUUUCCCGCCAGCUUCCUCCAGAGCCGAAGAUCAUCCCUCGCCAUCUCUAAACAACACGCCAAUCACCACGGAGGAAGCGAGGCGCUGCGCUGUCCCCACUGCACCAAACAUAACCCAGGCCCCGAGCAGAAGACUAACAAGGAGCCGAGUUUGGCUUUUGAGCCGGGCCUGGUAAAUACAACAUGUUCUUACAGGUCGGAGAGCCGCCUGGAUGGUCUUCAUACUUUUUCUCUCUGUCUCCCACUUCUUCUGACUUGGGUCUCAUCGCUCCACCUUGACGUUGGCCAAGUUCACGUUUGCCGGUCGCCGAGUGAAUAAUGGACGGUUUGUGGGAUGAGUAGUGAACAAAGGACGCAGAGCCCGGAGGCCAGCCACACACUGUAGAUGCCAUCAGAUCCCCUCGCCCCAUGGGCCAUCCGCACACAUGCUGAUGGGAAUCAAGAAGGCUGAGAAUCAAAGGUCUUCAUUCCUGUUCAUUCAGCGCCUUUCUCGCGCUGGUGACAACCCCGGCAGGAUAACCCGCGCCCUCUCCUAAUCAGUUAGCCGAGGUCAUUUCUUGCUUGUCAGGUACACCCGGGCCUGCGAGCCCGACGGGGACAUUCAUAGAAUGCGAAGUGUUUGGUUGUCCCGCCUUAAAAAUGGAUUUUGUUUUUAGUGCUUGCUUUGAGGACAGGAACAGUGAAGUUGGAAACUGUGCUUGUAAUUGGGAGCAGGUCUCCUGCCAGAUCCGAACAGCUUUAAGGGAUAUCCAGUUUUAGGUUUAUAGUGCUACAUUCUGGCUCAUUGAAAUUGCAUCUCAGUGUUGCCAGAAUGCGUCAUAAACUACAAAAUUUGUACAAAAAUAUAUUGACAUAAUGACUCUGGAGCCUUCAGUCGGAGGGUAGGGAGCCGUCCCUUAUUCCCAUCAGGAUUGUCGUCCUUUUGGGUCACCUGGGGCAAUUAUCAUUCACGAGAUUCCAGGCCCGGUUGGACCAGUUUGCUCAGCUGCUUAGAACAUGGUGUCAGAAGGCUGAGGAAGUGGCCUCGCCCUGUCCUGUAGCGACAGAUGGCAUCCCUACCUGGGCCACACCAGACAAAGGCUUAGGUAUCCAUCCCAGACCGAGUGUUUCCAUCUGCUGCUGGAAUAAAGUCCCCGUGUCUUGCUGGCCUCGUAGUGCUCAGCUCUGGUCAGUCUGCACUUAGGGGGCCCUGGACACAGCUCGUCUUCCAGAUCCUCCCAUGGACCAUGUUCCCUCCUGCCUCUGAGCUUCCGUUCAUACUGUUCCCUCUGCCGGGAGCCCCUCUCUCUCCUGGCUACUUCUUCUGGCUCUUCAUUCAGUACUCAGUUUAGAGGCUGAUCUUUCUUUAUUUCUUUUCUUUUCUUUUUUUCUUUUUCUUUUUUUUNNNNNNNNNNNNNNNNNNNNNNNNNNNNNNNNNNNNNNNNNNNNNNNNNNNNNNNNNNUUUUUUUUUUUUUUUUUUUUUUUUUUUUUUUUUUUUUUACUUUCUGUGGUACUGAACCACAAAAACCAGGGCCUUUACACUGAACUACAUCCUCAGCCCUUUUCAUAAAAAAAUUUUAAUUGUGAG
rnacentral:lncRNA from 1 species